rnacentral:rRNA from 1 species
AUGCAAGACUACUUCGCAACGUCACCUACGUAUCCACCACACCUCUUCCGGAGAAGGUAUCGAAUGCGUCGAUCGCUCUUCGUAACAAUAGUAGAAGCUCAUGAGGCCAAUUUGAAUUUUUUUACCAAAAGGAGAAACAUCGCAGGCUUGAAGGGUUUUAUCGCAUAUCAAAAAAUCUCAGCAGCUAUGCAGGUGAUUGCAUAUGGCAUUCUGGCUAACUAUGCUGAUGAAUAUCUUCCCAUUGGCAAAGAUACUACAGUUGAGUCAGUGCGUAGGUUCGCCAAAGUGAUCAUCCGUGUAUUUGGUCCUGUCUAUCUUCGGGCACCCAACGAGGAAGACACGACAAUGUUGAUGGCAACAAAUGAGAAGCGAGGUUGGCCGGGCAUGCUAGGAAGCGUUGAUUGCAUGCAUUGGACUUGGAAAAUCUGCCCGAAUGCAUAG